rnacentral:rRNA from 1 species
UACGUAGGGCGCAAGCGUUAUCCGGAAUUAUUGGGCGUAAAGAGCUCGUAGGCGGUCUGUCGCGUCGGCUGUGAAAACACGGGGCUCAACUCCGUGCCUGCAGUCGAUACGGGCAGACUAGAGUUCGGUAGGGGAGACUGGAAUUCCUGGUGUAGCGGUGAAAUGCGCAGAUAUCAGGAGGAACACCGGUGGCGAAGGCGGGUCUCUGGGCCGAUACUGACGCUGAGGAGCGAAAGCGUGGGGAGCGAACAGG